AAAAAAAUUUACCCAUUACAGGUGUGGCAUCUAUAUAGACGGUAUAUAAAAACACGUGCGUAUUUGAAUGGAACGUUGUGUCAAAAUUUCAAAGCAAUAGGCGAAGCACUUUCAGAGAUUACACCGUGUGUUACUCAUACGUCCAACAGAUAGCACUGUUUUUAAAAAAAACAUGUUUUUUCCUGUCACAGGUGGGGAGGCAUGUAUAUAGUUGGCAUAUAAAAACACGUACCUAUUCGAAUGCAACAUUGUGUCAAAAUUUCAAAGCAAUCGGUAAAGAGGUUUAGAAGAUUUCCCUCAUAUGAAAAAUAGUCACUGCUUUCACAACAAAGUGGUGAAGUUCUGCGAAGAAGAAAAUGUAUUACCAUGAUUUGGAGACUAACCGACUAAGUAGCGCGCGCAUCGAGCGGGGUACUUAAAAGGAAUCAGUGAAGAUCUUUUGGAAAUUAGCGAUUUUGAACAAACGAACAUUUACAUUUUUAUUUAUAUAGUUUUUGUAUAUAUACUGUAAUUAAAUAAAAUUUUACAUUUGUGUGCAUGAAUCUAAAUACAGUGCAUUACAGUACUGGUACAGUAUUGAACUUGUAUUCUUGUACCUAUGACUAACAAGCCCCUUGAGUGAUGAAUCAGUUUCAAUACAGUAUUUAAAAUAUUGACUAUUUAAUGAUAACCUGUUUGAAAUAAUCUAAUAUAGACUUGAUGUGUAUUUGUCUACUUGCGUCCAUUUAUAAGUACAGUACUGUAAUUGAACUCGUGGAGGCCAUCCAUUCCUUCGUGGUUUGUAUUAUAUUUGAUGAAGACUCUGUACACGGGCCUGUCCCAGUAUCUUUCCUUCCUGAGAAAAGAAAGAUGAUGAUAUUGAAUAUCAGUAUAAAUAUUUAAAGUUUUUUGUAAAAUGGUUAAGCAUCAAGGCAUUAUAUUUAAUGUUUUUGAAUUGGUAAUCAUACAACUUUAAAAGAUGCCGCAAAUAAAUAAAGUGCUUUAAAUAUUGCAAAAAAUAAUGUUGGCAUAGUCUCCUACUAAAUUUAAUUUGUUAACGUUUUCUUGCAAAUUUUGAAUACUUGUUAAGGAAGUCUUUUCAGAUAUGGAGUGCUGGUAGUAAAGUUUGUUCUCCAUACUAUAGAUGCAAUAAUUAUUUUAUUCACUGUACAUUACUAGAUAAACCAACAUCUCAUGUGUAAAGCAUUUAAGAUUAAUGUCAUUUGAGAAAUAUUGAAUGACAUUUAAAUAAAGUCAAAACAUAUUUGUAACACAAGUUGGUGUGUGCGUACCACUUUCGGAAGGUGAGCAAACUCCAGACAAAACUUUCCACUGGUGCACCAAGUGGAAAUGUUCCAGUGUGUAUUUCAGGUGUUACUGUUUGAGACAUCAUCACUUGGUAUAUACAGUAGUUGGUCAGCAGGUACCGUCUAUAGAGAAUACCUUGUAUGUGUCUCCAUGCUAUGAAUUUAGCAAGACAAGGUACAUCUAAAAGUUAAAUGCUGUAUAUGAAGUGACCUCAUAUGUGAUAAUGCACAGUCUUAUAUCAUAUGGUGGUUUAUUUGUUGUUUAUUUAGGGACCACGAUGGCAGAGGUCCUGUAUGUGCCCCUGGUGUACCCUUAAAAGGUAAAUAAAAAAGCUGUAUGGCUAAAUGAAUGUUGCCUGUUGGGGAACAAUGAAUGCGCCUUAUGGCGAAGAAACACGCUGAUUGACAGAUGAUUGAGGAGCUCCAAGAGUCCUGCAGAGAGGAAAGCCCCCUACCUACACUGAGUAGUCAAGGCAAAAACUUGGCCUCUCCUAAAUUUGUAACCAUAUGAGCAAAAUUGCAAAAAAGUCCUCCAGUGCCCUCCAGCAGAGCAAAAGCCACCCACCCACCAUGCCUUGAGAGCACACCAGGAGCCCACCAAGACCCACCAACUCCUGGCAACUCUUGACAAAGUCAGCACCGGAUACAGUCUCUUCACCCAAGGAACCAGCUCGAAAACAUUUAAAAUCUUGGCAACUUCCUGUGACCCCGGGCGAUAAGUGCACCACGUGUCGUAACAAUCCAGGCCAUUGAAUAGAAAUGCUUGACUGCAGUAUCGAAACCCAAAGGGUAAAAAUUGCAUCAUCGGUUCUGGCGGGCCCCAAGUAGAGCAGGUGUCCAGACAUCCGCUCCUCAUUAAGGAUGAACCAGGAGUCUCUGGUUGUUUGUUCAUCAAGGUCCUCGGGUAGGUUAGUCUCGGGCAACUUGGUACAACUGUUCAGUGAUAUUGGGAACACUCGGGAGAAUGAGCAGCUCAUACUUUUCAACUGUUGGGUCCUUCAAUAUUGUUAAUUUAAGAUUGUUGUUCCACUCUCCUCAUCUUGUUACUACAUUUGUAAGACUGAUCAAUCGUUGCAAAAGUGAACUCACAAGAACAUGAUACAGUAUACAGUAUAUGAGAAAAUAUUGAAGCCAUAUAAUAGGAUUGGACCCUUGACUGAAGAUGCUUGUGCCUGAGCCAUUCAGGGGGUGUGGGUUCCAUCCUAUUGUAUGACUUCAAUAUUUUUUUAUAAAUCAUUCUUUGUAAGAUGCAGUUAGUACAUUAUUCAAGGGUAGAGCUGUCACACUUCAUUUAGGCUAGAUUGAGUAAAUUAAUGCUUAGAUAAGAUUGAUUUCCAUUAUCUAUUGUCCAUUUCUCCUGUGGACUUUUGGGAAUAAUAAGUUAUUAAUUGCAUUCAAACUAAUGUCAGUUUGUUAGAUGAUAACAUAAUUUUAUUCCAGAUUUAACCUUGCCUUCAUGAUGUGACAGUAGAUGUAUUCUCUUGUAAUAGAAGUUCCUUGUAAAAUGUAUUACACUGCACACAACUCAGGCCAGGGAUCUUGCCUCCCAUGUAGCAACCCAGUUAAGUCUUCGCUCUUACUUUUUAUUAUAUUAUUAUUUGAGAAUAUUAAUUAUGUUUGCUUAUUGAUUAUGGUCUGCAUACUUUGGCAUUAUGCUGAUGUGUCCUGCAUACUGACAUUAAAUGUACUUAAUGAUAGUCACACACAGCCAAUGUACUAAAGUUGCUAUGGAAUUUUCAGACAAGCAAACAAAUGUAAUUUGGAAGAUCUGUUAUUAGGUUGUGAAGUUGAUGCUGUUUUAUGUUAGCUCUGGUAAUCAAAUAAGUGUUUAUUUAGCUUUUCUUACUUUAUGAUUAUAGCUCACAUAUGAAACUAGAAACGGUCCUCUGUGGUGCGGUCCAGGUUACAGCAGUGAAUGAUCUUAACAAGUUAUAGUUUGCAUGCCUAAAAUCUAACCCUGCUAAAAAAAAAAAAAUUGUUACUUUAUUGUAUAAAAGUUUUUGUUUUCUUUUCUAAAUAUGUUGAAUUAAUUGCUAAGAAUGUAUACUGAAGUCUAUAAGUGACAAAAAAAAUGUGUUGCAUAAAAAAUGCUAAGGAAAGUGUUCAGUAAAAAUUUGUUGUA